rnacentral:rRNA from 1 species
CCUACGGGUGGCAGCAGUCGAGAAUCAUUCACAAUGGGGGAAACCCUGAUGGUGCGACGCCGCGUGGGGGAAUGAAGGUCUUCGGAUUGUAAACCCCUGUCAUGUGGGAGCAAAUUAAAAAGAUAGUACCCCAAGAGGAAGAGCCGGCUAACUCUGUGCCAGCAGCCGCGGUAAUACAGAGGUCUCAAGCGUUGUUCGGAAUCACUGGGCGUAAAGCGUGCGUAGGCUGUUUCGUAAGUCGUGUGUGAAAGGCGCGGGCUCAACCCGCGGACGGCACAUGAUACUGCGAGACUAGAGUAAUGGAGGGGGAACCGGAAUGCUCGGUGUAGCAGUGAAAUGCGUAGAUAUCGAGAGGAACACUCGUGGCGAAGGCGGGUUCCUGGACAUUAACUGACGCUGAGGCACGAAGGCCAGGGGAGCGAAAGGGAUUAGAUACCCUGGUAGUC